rnacentral:rRNA from 1 species
CCGGGGUACUCGAGCGGCGAACGGGUGAGUAACACGUGAGCAACCUGCCCUUAGCUCCGGGAUAGCUCCGGGAAACCGGAAUUAAUACCGGAUACAACUCCGGCCGACAUCGGCCGGUGUGGAAAGAAUUUCGGCUAGGGAUGGACUCGCGGCCUAUCAGCUUGUUGGUGGGGUAACGGCCUACCAAGGCGACGACGGGUAGCCGGCCUGAGAGGGCGACCGGCCACACUGGGACUGAGACACGGCCCAG